GGCCCGUUGGUGAAGUGGUUCAACACACAUGCCUUUCACGCAUGCAUUCAUGGGUUCAAAUCCCGUACGGGUCACCA
rnacentral:tRNA from 2 species